CAUAAGCUAUAUUACUAGAAUGUGUUAGCUAUAUUACUAGACAUUUUUAGCUAUGUAACAUGUCUGGAAUGCUUGGGAAAAGGCGACUCAAACUAUAGAUAGGGUUGUGUAGCUGUAGGCACGUGGGUGAUAAAAGGAAGACUGAGGAAACAUGAGCCCUCUGCGAGGGAAUGGAACAGCUGGGAUAUGGAGAACGCUGAGGGAUAGUCUGUGGCUGCUGGCAUGGUGAACCACCAUAAAGCUCCGCAACAGCAACAUGAGCUUUAGAAUCCACCUCCCCCAGCCCCUCUCUGAACAGAAGGAUGUUGAAGAUGAAUCCUUUAUCCUGGCUGCCUCACCUCUGGAUGAUGCUGAUGGAAAGGAGAAAACCAUUCUGCUUUCAGAAAGUAUAAAAGUAAAUAUGAAAGUUGAAACUCCCU